ensembl:lncRNA
CUCUUUCUGGACAUUACUCCUCUUGGAGCCUUCUCAGUGAGCUCAGGGCACAAAUUCAUCCAAGCAACCAGCUGAGCUUGUCUUCGUUAGGGCAUGUUGUGACUAAAACACCCCUGAUGCCCUGUUCCCAGGGUAAGCCCUGUAACCCUCUGCCAAAGCAGACAUCACUAAGACCAUCUAGAAGAUCCCUGUCUUUUUUGAACUGAGGAGCAGGGAACUGGACACAGAUCCUCUGGGUAAAACAGCAGUAGACACUUUUGCAUAGGGGCCUGCCUCCCAUCCUCCUUGUCCUUCCUGGCUUCUCU